GCAAGCCAUCCCGCCGCGCCGGGCUUUUCCCGCAGUCUCCAUCGCCGGGGAGCGGUUUGUGUCCGGCUGCGAGCGAUGCACAUGCAGAAGAUGGUGCUCCCUUUUAGAUACUGUAAAGCCACUCUCAGCUCUCCCCAAAGCCUUCUCCAGGCUGAACAGCACCAGCUCUCAGUCUCCAUUGUAGAAGAGGUGUUCCGUUCCACGGAUCAUUUCUGUGGCCCUCUUCUGGACGUGCUCCUGCAGGUCCAUGUCUCCCCUGUACUGAGGACUCCACAUCUGGAUGCAGUACUCCAGACAGACGUGUGCUUGGAGUAAAUAUGUUUAUGAAGAGACCUGGAAGGAAGAGGAGGAAUAUGAGAAGAUUUUUGCUAUAGAAGAAAUGAAGGCUGUAUGUUAGCCAGGAGGAGUAAAACUACAGAGGCAUCCACCUUAUGGAAAUCCCAGAGAAAAACAAGAUAUGAAGUAGAUACAGAUACUUUGUCAUAUGGACAGAACUUUAAUGCAUAUGUACUGAUAAAUACCCAUAUGCUGAAGUAGCAACUUUGAUUCAUAUUUAUACAUUCUUGCAUUCAACAUAUAAAUCCUAGCUACGCAAUCUGUUAAGAAGGCAUGUUGUUAUGGUUUUGAAGACAUGUAACUUUGUGAGGGAGAGGAGGACUUGGCUGAGAAAGGCAUAAAGAAGCUAUACAAUUACCAAGGAUAGGUUGAGAAUUAGGAGUAUGGAGAUGACAAAAGAGGAAGAUAAGAGUAAGAGAUACAGAAACAAAAAUCCAUCACCACUCCUCCCAGGCAGAUUCUAGGUGCACUGAGGCAGUGACAGCAUGAAAACAGAGAACAUCCUCCCUCUGCCCUGUGUGCCAGUGCUGCUGAAUGAACUUCUUCUGAGUAGGCAAAUGUCUGUGCCAUAAAGGCUCCCCAUGGCACAGCCAUCUGGGCAGAGAUCAAUCUGGAAACUAAAUUCAGUCAUUUAGAUUAGUCUUGCUUCAGAUAUGACUUUCAUGAUGUGGUCAGCGUGAAUGCUUCAGCAAUAAAGAAAACAAUUCGCUCAGCAACCUGUCCUUUCUUAGUCCUUUCGUGCCUUAUGAUAUGUUGUAGCUCACACAUACCUGUCAGAUAGAUCCAUUAGACUGUAAACUCUGGGACAAAGAUAUUUCUUCUGUGAAGUGCUUAGCACUUCUGGGCAAUAAAAAGUAAAUAAAAUACAAAUCAUUCAUCUAGAACUGUUUACACUCCACCCUUUGGCAUCAUCUCACAUCACCUCUUGAAGCGAUACCAGCAGUUAUGAAUAGAUAAGCAGUGCACCAGAACAAGGCAGUUAGCCAGAUAGGUUCCUUUCAGUCACAGAACUCAUUUUCAGGAAAUUGCCUUAGUGCUUUCUUGCAUUUUUGUUCUUAUUGACUUAUUUUUUAUUCAUCUAAAUGCUUGGGUAGCCAGAACAGGUAAUUAUUUUUAAUAGUGCUUUUCAUUAACAGUGUUAUGUUGAUAUUGAGGCAGGGGUAGCAAAAACAUUUGGCUUUGAAUGCAUUCAUCCACUGCUCCCAUUCCUUUCUGCCACAGUGUCUGCAAAUGUUCUUUUCAAAUGUACCAAGUUUAAGAAAUUAAAUAUAUAUGCUAAGAGAUCUUGACCUUGAAAGGAAAGACUGUUGUGAUUGUCCUGCAGAAAGCUAAAAAGGUUGAUUAUACUUUAAAUCACAGUAAUAUCAGUCAUGAUUAUUCCAGUUUGAGAGAAAUGUUGAUAGAAUUAAUUAACUUAGACCUCACGCCCAGUUAGAAGAACAUCCCAUAUCCAGAAUUAACUGGUGCAAAGUUAUUGGGGAAAGAUAUGAGAAUCUGAGCAGCGGUUCAUUUAAACUUGAGGGAACUUCAGAGAAGUCCUUCCUCACUAAGAGCUCUCAGCUUCUGACAGUCAGGGAAUUCAGGUUUUUAAACUGAAGAUUUCAGAGGGGUCAAUGUGUUGAAGAGUUUCCUACAGUCAUAACUUCCGUGUAUUUAUCCAGUUUAUCUUAAGCAUAUUUUAUACAUUGUGUCCACAUUAUCCUAUGCAAAUGAGCUCUAAAACUCAUUCUAAGAAGUUCUUUUAUUUAGUCGGUUUUACAUCUUUCAUAUUUGCCAUUCUUGGCACUUUGCUAAGAAAAAAGAGGUAAAAGCCAUUUACCAUACCAUAUCACCCAUAGUUAUGUAUACCUUCAUAAUAUUACACUUCACCAAUGUCUCUUUCAAGAUGAAGAAUCCAUCCUCCAAAAAUUCUGUCCUCCUAUGUUCUAUAUUCUGUGCUAUAUACUAGAGCUCCAUGCCAC